rnacentral:lncRNA from 1 species
AUUUAGUAAGUACUUAUCUUUCAGCCUUCCUGUUAUCUCAGGGUAACGCGCUAUAACAGUCUACCAAGAGGAUUCACAUCAUGGACAUGAACGCACUCACAUACGUUCUUCUCUCCACUAUUCCCUCAACAUGAAGAUGAAGUUUCUCAGGAGACAAAGAACUGUUCAACACUGUUAUGAAAUCGAGGACAGAAAUCCAACUGGGAUAAUGUGCAAAGCGUGUGGAAUUAAGGCAAGAAUCACAGAAUUGCAGGAAUUGGAAGAGACCUAAAGAGUCCAACCCCUGCUAAGGCAGGUUCCCUACAAUAGGUCACACAGUGGCUGAACAUCCAUACCAUCAAUGGAAAUGGAGACUAAGUCUUUAUCUGAG